UGGGAAGAUAACAUCCAAUGGGAGGACAUGGCAAAAUCAAAGCCUCAUCUCUGAGAGACAUGUCAGUCUUCGUUUGGACCUUGGGGAUGAGUAGGAUAUCUGUAGGUAGAAAGGAGCAUUCAGGGCAAGGAGAAACUCCACAGGCACAGGCAGGAAGGCCAGAUAAUGCGGAACAUUUUUUAAUGGAUAUUUGUAUCUUCAUCUCCUAGUCAUAAGGACUGAAUAAAUCUGUAGAAUAAAUACUUAUAAAAGUACAAGUAGUCUGUAGGGUGAGGCAGGAUAGGGAUUGGAUAACAAUAAUAACCUUUUUUGAGCAUUUUCUAUGUGCUAGGCAUUGUUCUCAGUGCUUUAUUAGUAAUAAUUAUUUCCUUAGAACAGCUUUAUUGAGAAGAUAGUACUAUGAUUCUUUUUUUUACAAAUGAGAUAGAGGUUACAAAUGAAAUAAACCUACUAAGUGGUAGAACUGGGAUUUACACUCUUACUAAUGUGCUCUUAAAGGGAGAAAGGAUGAAAAUGUGGUUUUCUUCUGAAUGCAAUUGACAGGGCAUUACAGGAUUUUGAGAAAGGAGUUAUGAGGUUUUGGAUCUGUGUUGUAAAUAGGUGUAUUUUGGGAUUCAAGAUAAGGAGACCAGUUAGCCUCCAAGUGAGGUUGUCUGUGUCAGUUUAAGAAGUAUGAAGAGGGUCUGAGCUAGGGCAGUAUAUGUGUGGAAAGGAGGGAUUAAUAUGAGAGGCCUUGAGAGGUGGAAAUGAGUUUGUCAGCUGAUUGGUUUUGUGCUGCUGGGCUGGGGAAAGGUGAUGUGGAAGGAGGCUCCGAAUUCUCUGAACGACCUGGGAAGGUACCUGGAUUUACCAAGUUAGGAAGCCUGGAGAAAAGUGGUUUGUAUUUAAAGGACAUGUGAGUGUGGAUGUUUAGGGACGGUUCAAAGGGAAGGUUCUUCUGUUGUUCCCAGUUCCAGAACUGAGGGAUUCUUCAAAACUUCAUGAUUCUCUCUAUAAUGAGGAUUGUACUUUCCAACAGCUUGGAACUUACAUUGAUUCUAUCAGAGAUCCUGUCCAUAACAGAGUCACCCUAGUAAGUACAAACAUUUGGUAGCUUUCCAAGAAGUGGGCUGGCAUUUCAAAUUUGACAGAAUACAGAAUUUUGUCUGAAAAAUGACAACAAACAUUUCUCAUGAUUUAAAAAAAUCUAUUGUGUCAUUUUUUGGCACUAUUUUACUUUUUACUAUACAGUAAUUCUGCUUGUUUUCUACAGUUUCUGUAUUAUUAAAAACUUCAUGAAAACAAAAGCUUGUUGAGUCAGUUGAAUUGUAUAUUGAUGUGAUUUUUUGUCAUCUCAUUAAAACUA
rnacentral:lncRNA from 1 species